UAGCCAGUUGUAGUUUCGAUUCUUGCUCUGGUGGUUAGAAAUUCCCAGGCAGCUCCGCCUCUCAGCCAGGGUGAAGACCCGCCCUCCAGCCUGCCCAGCAGGCUUUCUCCGGCCCUGCUUUAAACAGCAGUGGAGGCAGCAGUCAGGCGCGGUGGAUCGGGUCCGGAACCUAGACCAGCAUGACAGCGGAGCAGCAGCGGAAAAACCUGGAAGCCUUCGGCGACUAUGUGACGAGGAUCCUGGACCCUACCUACAUCCUGAGCUACAUGAGCUCCUGGUUUAGGGAGGUAGUGGAGCCCAAGGACUAUAACAGAAGGU